AAAGGAUCUUCCCCUAGAGCCUUCGGGGGGGAUAUGGGCCAUUGACACCCUGAAUCUGAACCACUUGACCCCAGAACUGUGACACAAUAAAUUUCUGUUUUUGCAAGCCAACCAAUUUAUGGUAUUAUGUUACAGCCUCCUGGGAAACUAAUACACCCAUGGAGCCACAUGGCCCAGUGAUGGGCUGCAUAACUUAGAGACCUGGUGGGGGUGGAUCCAGCUGAUGGGGCUGAAGAAGGACAUGCUCCCAGAAUCCAGCUGAUGCAGCAGAAGGAGGACAUGCUCCCUCUGGGAGGGGGAGUGUGGUUUUUCCAGGCUGGAGGGGGCCAGGGUAAAGGGGAAUACUACUAAAGAAAACCACACGGCGCCUGUGCCCAGACCAUCAACCAGCAGAAGCCGAACGCAGAGCCGAGACUGGGGAUCUCUCCCAGCCCCAACAUGUUGCCCACACCUGGAACAUGAACAUGGUUGGGGCAGACAUCUUGGUCCCAAGGUAGAAGCUAUACACUGGGGAUGGGAAAGCAAGAAGUCGGAAGGAAGGGGGACCCUGAUGACCACGGAGGCAUCCUAGCAGCCUGCAUUAGAAGUUCUCUUGGCUUGUUCUUUCCCAUUACUACACGGAUUUUCUUUCUGGCAACAUCUGCUGAAUCUGAACUGCUGACCAGCACAGUGGCAGGAAAAGACUGGCUACAAUCUUUGCCUGCACAGAUUCCUCUUGCUGCUUUCAGAGAGAAGGUCUGUCCUUAAGGAGGAUGCUCUUGGGAAAGAGGAAUGAAUAUUUUCACAGUUGCCUUAACUGGGAUUCAGCAUUU